AGAUUCUUUGGCUUACACAGAGAGCAUGACAACAUUGUCAGCGUAGAUCCAACAGUGAUCCAUGUAGGAGUGAUUUCCUCCUCAUCUCUUGGAUAGUGGAUCUCCAGCACCGUGUUGACAUCUGAAGGUUCCAGGGGUCGGGCCACUGAACGACCAUCCGGCCAGUACACCUCGACAUUGGUGGCCACAUCCUUACCUGCUGUAUGUACAGGCGAUGAGGUCCAUUCCAGUUCCCGUAGACGAUGUCUGUCUUGCCGUCACGGUUGAAGUCUGC